rnacentral:rRNA from 1 species
GACGAACGCUGGCGGCGUGCCUAAUACAUGCAAGUAGAACGCUGAAGGAGGAGCUUGCUUCUCCGGAUGAGUUGCGAACGGGUGAGUAACGCGUAGGUAACCUGCCUGGUAGCGGGGGAUAACUAUUGGAAACGAUAGCUAAUACCGCAUAACAGUAGAUGUUGCAUGACAUUUGCUUAAAAGGUGCAAUUGCAUCACUACCAGAUGGACCUGCGUUGUAUUAGCUAGUUGGUGAGGUAACGGCUCACCAAGGCGACGAUACAUAGCCGACCUGAGAGGGUGAUCGGCCACACUGGGACUGAGACGCGGCCCAGACUCCUACGGGAGGCAGCAGUAGGGAAUCUUCGGCAAUGGACGGAAGUCUGACCGAGCAACGCCGCGUGAGUGAAGAAGGUUUUCGGAUCGUAAAGCUCUGUUGUAAGAGAAGAACGAGUGUGAGAGUGGAAAGUUCACACUGUGACGGUAACUUAACAGAAAGAGACGGCUAACUACGUG